GAAUAAGACGAACGAGUUCACUCACCUCGAACUCUGAUAAACAAAUUGGGCAGUCUUCGAUCAAGUGCUUCGCGGCUCCACCGUAUGAAAUUAACGGUAGAGAUUGCACCGUUGAUGGAUCCAUCCCUUUCCGGCAAGACCUGUGCGCGAAGGUAGAAGACGACGAUAGGGAUAGAUUUCUCCGGCGUCGAUCCUCAUCGGAACCGGCGGAAGUUGUUAUAUCUCCGGCGAAGUGACGUA
rnacentral:misc_RNA from 1 species